CAAAAACAUGGCUUUUUGAUUAUAAUUUAAGGUCUAGCCUGCCCAAUGAUUAAUUUAAAUGGCCGCGGUAUACUGACCGUGCAAAGGUAGCAUAAUCACUAGUUUUUUAAUUGAAAGCUUGAAUGAAAGGUUGGAUGAGGAAACUACUGUUUCGGACUAAAUUUUUUAGAAUUUUAUUAUUUUGUGAAAAGGCUAAAAUUUCUAUAAAAGACGAGAAGACCCUAUAGAGUUUUAUAGUUUGGAUAGAAAGGGUAAUUAGGAUAUAUUUCUUUAUUUAUUUAAAUUAUUUGAUUGGGGUGAUUGAAACAAUUUAAUAAACUUUUUUUAAUUUAAACAUUUAUUAAUGAAUAUUUGAUCCUUUUAAAAGAUUAUAAGAGUAAAUUACCUUAGGGAUAACAGCGUUAUUUUUCUUGAGAGU
rnacentral:rRNA from 1 species